AGGACACCGGCCCUACAGGACUGAGUUUGGGCACCCCUGAUUUAGAACAACAUGGCAAGAUUCCCAGCUGUCUGAGAAAACCCCAAAUAGGAUUCAAACAUUUUUAAUGACUCUUUAUUAUUUUCCAAACCAUUUUUUGCUCAUUUUUUUCUGUUGUUCAGUCUUUUGCUGUCUUGUUCAAAAAUGGCAUUAUAUGUGUUUUAUAGUUGUACAAAGGACAUUUUAAUACAAUGUAAGUAUACACCAUUAAAGUAUAACUGGCCCCAGCUUGGCCCCAUAUGAUAUUAAUAUAACUUGUAAAAGGGAUGAAUAAAUAAAAGUGCUGUGUGAGCAUGUUCAUCUCUGACUUCCCCUCUGGUCUGUGUGGUCGAGGUUUCAUCUAAAGCUCAGUGAUGUUUCCGCUCACAGUACGAGAUGUUUGUAUGAUCACAGUAUAGAAGAUAUUCAUCUGGAUCAGACGAUGAAGAUCAUCCAGCUCCAGAUCUAUCUGUUCAUGUGGUCUCAAGCCACAGAGAGUCUAACAAACACAGCAGUAACUUUAGGAGCUGAUGUGAAUAUAAGCUGUGAUCUUGAUAUAGAGGAGAUUUACUGGUACAGACAGAAGUCACCGGAUCCUCCAGUGUUCAUCUUACGCACUUUUGAUAGCACAUACGAAGAAGAAAUAUCACCACUGAUGAAUUAGGAGUUUAUUAUUGUGUGAAAACUAGUGAACCACUCAAAUUCAGCAACGGCACCAACAUCUACAUCAGCGACUGUUUUCACAAGAAUCUGACUUCAGAAUCCCAUGAAUCAGAGUCACAUGAUGCUCCACAACACCAGAUACUAUGGAGAAAUCUGACCAUAGCAUCUGUCUUGCUGAAUGUGCUUUUGACCAUUGCAUUGAUAGGUUUGAGAAAGAGCUAUCUUCAUACAAGAAGAUUUAAAAAUAGUUCAGAGAACCCUCAAAGUACUACAGCAGCUCAGUACUUAAAUGAUUCACAGUAUGCUGAGGUUGAUUUUUCCAUGCACCCCGGUGAAAACAGGCCUUGCCAGGAGCAGACCAUCUACUCUCUUCUCCAGCCAAUAAAAAGUAUGAAGUAACAUACAUUAUA